GGGAGGCCGGGGUCGAGGCGCGCCUCGGCGGUCGAACGGCCCCGGGCAGAACGGUGACGGCUGGCGGCGCGCAGUGGCGCGCUUUCCCCGUUUCCUAAGAAUUGAUGUCCAUGUCAAGAUGUGUAUUUGCAUUUCCUUCUUCAAAAUUCAGUUGGGUGGUUCCAAGAAGAGGAAAGGCUAGACCAGAAAGAUGGUACAGCCUCUGCUUAAAGCCACAGAAACAGAGCAUGUCAUAAAGAUGUGGCAACUGCACCCAUGCAGAUCAUACAGAGGCCAAAGGAAAAAAGAAAGACUUGUAGCAAUUUCUUUUUUUCAGAUCCGUUAUGCAACAAUUUCUCAAGCGGCCUAAUUUGUAAUAAAACUCAGCACCAGCAGUUCCUAUUUAUUUCAAUACAAGUUGUGUAAUUCAGCAAGGAUUUGAAUAACUGUUAAAAAAAGGUUAAUGCUAGCUGCUCCACUUUUCAGUUUCCGCUUGAAGUUCCUACUAAGCAAAGAUGAUCAGAAAUGCAUUUAAAAGAUUUUGUUAUCCCUUAGGUUCUUUAGAACUAUAGUAUUUCUGCCUUAAAUGUUUUUCCUCAAGAUAUCAUGCACCCGUCCCUAGUAAUUUCUUUCUGUGGUGCUUUUUCUCCUCAGCAUUCAGUUUUUACUGUAUUUGUUAGGAAAACAGGAAAAGAAAAUAUCAAACACAUUUUUGUAUGUUUGGGCCAUGGUCUCUAGUUCCCUUUUCACCCAACUAUCAGGGCUUACUGUUUUCCACCACCUAGUUAUGUUGCUUUCAUUAACUUCUGUAUAUUCUUCAUGCUCAUUAGCAUUCUCUUGUUCUUCUUCAACUAAAUUGAACACAUUACCUCAGUCAGCAGUUGAAGUAAAUGCAUCCAGAUCGGUGGUUCCCAAAUCCGUCUUGCUCACUACCCACUGCAGCCAUUGUAGGUAGCAGUAGCAGAAGUUGCUGUAUCAUCAGUUUUCAGUAUCAGCCAGGACAAUGUGCUUGGCUGGAAUUAUCUACGCCGAGCUUUGCUUCAGCAUGUUAGAAUCUGGGAAUUUCGGUCUAGGUCAUCCUCAGCCCGACGUGGAUACAAGAGCAUCUCUCCUUUUCUGAGAGCCUAUAAAAGCUGAAUCCUGAUCGCGGCAUUUCUUAGACGCAGGAUUCCCUGCUGUCACCUAUGAGAGGGAGGAAAACAACCUUAAGUGACUUGGAAUAUAUAUGCUUAAACACUGAUUGAAUUCAUUUAAGGUUGUCAUAGAAAGUUACUAAUCUACAUGGUAAGAGUAACUUGAUUAUACCCAUUGUGAGUGACUUAAAGAAUAAUGGGAAGCAGUAGCCCUCAUUUUAUACAUUUCCUUUUGAAAUCUACUGUGCAUUUAACUUACAAUACAGUGAAGAAAAAUAUUUUUUCACUGAUGCAGUUCUUUCAGAAUAUUCCUACAUUUCUUGCAAGCUUUGAGGAAAGAGCCUUUAAAAACUAUUUUAAGUUUUGACAAUAAGCAUAAACCAAAAUAUGGAUAAAGCCAGUAUUCCUAUUGUUUUACAAUAACCAUACUCUGCAUUAUUUUAAAACCAAUUUAACAAAGAUCCACUUUGUGAUAUACUGUGUUCUUACAUAACAGGAAAAAGAUUUUUUUUCCUUGUACUGUGUCUCAUAGUAACAUGCCAAAAUUGUUACCAUUCUGCUAUAGAACUCUAAUAGCAACUCACCUUUUUCUUGAGUUAGAUGGCUUUUGCUGAGCUUUGUUAUUCCACAUAUGUCCUUCUGCUGGAACCUUUUACAUCAGAAAACCUUUGAAAAGUGGGAGUAGCUCUUUAAAUUUAUCUGGAAGCAGUGGGGUUUCUUUUACAAAUAGCUGUUGCUGCUCACGUAGUUUUAUUUGUUUUAUUUCAAGGUAGUAAAUGCUAUGAAUUUGUCAAAUCUUCAUGAAAAGACAGGACAUCCUAUCCAUAAAUUUCCAACACAGCAUCAACUUCUGUUCAUUCAACAUUUUCCUUCCUUUAACAUCUCUUCCAAAGUUAGAAAAUGCAAUUUAUGCAUCAAUGUAUUUUCUAACAUUUUUUGAAACUUCAUUUGGUGCUGAGUGUCAGAAUCCUACUUACCCUGUAGCAAGUUCUAAAACGUUAGCUCUUUAACACAAAGGGACAGAUGUUCUUACAGGUUCCCUGUGUACCUGUACUUCUAGAGACAUACCAUAUACCCUGUGUACCACAUUUUUUCUGCUGAGAUCAUCUCUUUCUUGUGAAUCAGAAUGGAGAAGCAGGGAAGCUCCUAACAUCUUACCCUUAGUUUAUUGAUAAGGUAUUUGUUAGUUCCAAAUAAAUUCAUGUGCAUGUUUUUCACAGAAUCACAGAAUCACCCGGGUUGGAAGGGACCCCAAGGAUCAUGUAGUUCCAACCCCUCUGCCUGGCAGGGCCACCAAACAUACACAUUCAGAUCAGGUUGCCCAGGACCCCGUCCAACCUGGCCUUGAACACGUUCAAGGACGGGGCAUCCACAACCUCCCUGGGCAGCCCGUUCCAGGGCCUAACCACUCUCCUUGUAAAGAACUUCCCCCUAACAUCCAACCUAAAUCUUCCCUCCUUCAACUUGGAGCUGCUUUUUGUUUUUGUUGUUUUUUGUUUGUUUCCGAUCACUCCUCUCAAAAUGCUGUGAACCAAAUUCUCUAGGAUGUAAGCAACAAGGCUGGAGGACUGCACUAACAUAAGGAAAAGGACAGUGAAAUCACUUGAAGCCACAGAGCAGCUCAAGUUUGAGAGAUUAUUUAGAGGUAUUGUUCUUGGUGAUAUUAAAUGCUCAAAGUAGAACAUAAAACAUUUUUUUCAUAUUUCUAGUCAGAACAACUGUUUCCUGAAAUGAUUUAUAUAUAUAUAUAAAAUGGUGAAGCACAGUGUAGCAAUUACAGCAUCAGCUCUCGGAGCACCACAGACAGUACAGUUACAAGCAAUAGAGGAAGGCGUGUUAACCACCCCGUGAGAACGCAGCACAAGCUACAACAAUCAAACAGAAUGCAAGGCACAUAUUUAGCUCUCAGUUGCUUCACCAAACCAGCACGGCUGCUUCCAGCCACAAAGCCAAAUGGCUGUAUGGCAUGGCACAGCACGCAGCGCUCCCAAACCUCCCAUUAGGAUAAACACUCCCACUGAGCACACAUGCAAAACACAGCACUCCCGAGCCUCUCUUCAACUUCUGUUUAAUGUUGAAAUCUUCCCUGCUACUUUAUGAUUUCUUAUUAAAUGCUGCAUUUCACAAACAGGACGAUUGCAGUAUCUGUCAUCCUGCCCUUGAUCUAUGCUAGUCCCACGUUGUUCAUAAGGGGCUGCCACGCAAUUGGUAAGGUAUCUUUCCCCCCAGGGUUGCUAACUAUGCCUGGGCCAGGCCUUGCUUAACAGGUUCUGUAAGAGAAUAACAUGAAGAUGCAAGCAAGUGAAACUACUUUUCACAUUCCCUCCAAAUUAGCAUGUUAAUAUGUUGGAUGCUGUGCUUUGCAUUUUCCCUCAUGCAACUCUUUGCAGAUUAUAAAAAAGCAGUAGUUAGUCCUUCAAAAGGAAAGCAAAAAAAUACUCUUCCUAUUUCCUUAUGUGCUUGUAUCACCCUACAAAGUUUAACAACAUUGUUGGAAGUUUAACAACAUUAAUAUCCUUACAACAGAAAUCUGUAGCAUAGCAUGUAAACAACAUUUAAUCCUUCAUUUGGUUCUUUAGUUUUCUUUUGCAAUUUCUACAGCUGUCCUUCUUUUAAUUUUUCUAUGAGAUGCCCAGAAGAAUAUUCCCCAUACAGUCUGCUGUUUUAUUCUGUUGGGAACCUCACUGCCAUUUUGAAUUAAAUACAUAACAUGCUAAAACAUAAGGUCCUUACCUUGCUUAUACUAACAUCCUUCCCUUAGAAGGACAGCUGCUUCUCCUUCCCCUGCCUUGUGGACCCCUUACACCCUCCCUUACCUUUCAGAUUUCUGAUGUUAGUCGACCUGCUGGUAACAGCAACAAUACUAGGAACAUGGGAGAAUAAGAGAGUGAAGAGCAGUUACUGAGGGUGAUACUGGAAUGAUACUAGCUGAGGAUUCAGUUGUUCUGUUGUGAAUAUCCUGUGGGUACAGAAAUGCUGCAGACAAAAAGCUGGACAGUCUCCAGCCACAAAGGUCAGCAAAUUCAGAGGGAGACAUUGAAAGAAACUCACUCAGCAGACUGCGUUACUCUUAUCCUCAUGGCUUACUUUCUCUCACUGCCCAUUAUAGAAUAAACAGCAGAUCUACUGAGCUGAAGAAUGCACGGAUGCAUUAUGGGGCUGGGGUAUCAGCCUGUGAUACACAGGGGAAACAAGAGAAAGAUAGAACACAGUGCUGGCAUCUGAACAUCCUAUACCUUACCUUGUGACUCACUGAAAGUUGCCUUGAACUCUGUUGAAGAAGCUGCUUUCAAGGAUGAAACCCACUGAUUUAGAAGGGAAAUUUAGAAGGAUUUUUAAUAGUGAAGAAAACAGGAAGGGAUGACACGGGAGGUAACUGAUAUCACACAUUGAUCAAGGAACAUCUGAAACUGCAGAAGGGCUAACAGAAGUAUUUGGCUAAAUCUAAGAUAGACCAAAAGAUGAGUACAGUGUAGAGUAAGUUCAUCUUACUACUGACGUAAUGACUCCUGCUUCACAGAGCUGUUUUUCUAAUGUUCUUUCUAAUAUGCAUGAAAUACAAAAUCCAUCCAUCAGUACUGUUAGUGGUGACUCCUGCUUGACAAGUAACAAUGUGUUACUGGAGUGCCUCUUCCAUAGAACCUUUUAAGUAAAGUGUUCUCUAGUUAUGGAAUUGAUGUUCAACUCUUGGUGUACAAAGGUUCUAGCUGACUUCCACUGACUUUGUCAUCCAUCAGUAAUUCUGCUCUUUAAAAAUAGAUUUUUCUUUUCUUACCCAAUCUUUGCAUCACUGUUUCACUAGUACACAUUCCCUCCAUGCUGUCUUUUUCACUGAAUAUUUACCAAGGGCUGAAUUUCCUCACAAGAUUGGUAAUGAGUACAGUAUGUGAAAUAAAUGCAAUAAGAUACCAAGUUUUAAAAAAGCACAUGUCAUCUGGCAAGUGCUCGUUUCUCUUCAGCGUCUGUUUCCUAUCAUGAAUGUUGACUGCAUGAGCCAGAAAUGCAUGCAGAUCUUCCUGUCUCUUCUGAAGUUUAUAUAUUUUGACUGAAUGAAUGCCCAUUUCUUCAUAUCAUUUUAUCAUCCAAUAAUCCAUUUUCAGCAAUAAACUAAUGUACAUAUAUGAAUUACUGGUGACUAAAAUUCUAGUGACAAAACUAUAAAGUUGCAGAACAUAGCUAGUUGGUGUAGAACCAAAUAAAAUUGCAGUGCCCUUUUCACUGAAUGCAAACUCCAGGUUUUUAUCCUUGUUUUAAAAAAAAAAAAAAAAGGAUUUGUAGUAACAUAGAAAAUUCUUGGCCUCUCCCCUUUCCCUCUUCCCCCCUAAAAAAAAGAAAACUACCUCAAAUAUUGACUUUGAGUUAAAGAAAUCACUGGUAUCAGUAGCAAUAUUGUCAGGGACUGAGACAACUUCUUAUGAAGGAAGUUCAUGCAUAGUUCUGACAAUUGAGCAAAAAAUUAAUUAAUUUACAUUCAGAAGGCUCCAUUUUAAUUCUUUCUAGAAUGAUUUGAUUUAUAAAAAUUGAAACAACUGACUUUGCUUGAUAAGCAAACAUCAAAUAAUACAAAUUUGGCAUUCGUUUCUCAGCAUUAACUUGAUCUUACAUUUUUCUGUCCUCAGAUACGAAACUUAAAUCACAGCCCCCAACACUCCCUGUUUGUACUGCUAUAGCCACUGCAGAGUUUUUGUGGAAUUCCAGUUUGUUAUUUUACAAUAUUCCUUCUGCCUGUUUUCUUUGAAACCAUCUUUGCUAACUGAAACCAUAAGCAUACUUUGCCAGGAGCUCCUUACUUUAACAGAACAAAAAAGCCACCUGAAUCAGAAACAGUUUUCUGACAUGUUUCUUACUACCAGAAAACAGAAUACCUUCAGAAUUCUUAAUGCAGUCCAUCAAGGGGCAUUUUCCUUUUGGCCAAUAAAAUUUUACAUCUUUUGGCCAGUGUUGAAAUUCAUUUUGAAUGUAUCAUGUAUUUUACUGACGCUUUGGAGAAAAGCAAAAGCUGCUACAGUGCAAGCAUGGACAUACAUACUCUGUUCCAUUACCUCCACAAAGGUAAUAGAAGGAAGAGGCUGUAACCUCUUUCCAUUCUGUACGUUCCUGCUCUUUCCAUCAGCUCUAAGAGCCUGUUAUCAACUGUUCCACCUACCUUACUAAGAUCUUGCUUAAACAUUGUGCUUGGAUGCCUUUAUUUUCUUACAUUUGCUGCUUUCCUUAUAACUGCUAUACAAGGGAGUCUAUAUGUUGUUAUCUGAAGUGUGCAUCUAAAAUAAGUCCGCUACUUCCUCCUGAUUGUGACAAUUAAGCUGUUAGCUGAUUGUCUGGGAGGGAAAGUAUGAUCCCCUGGUGCUUCAAAGACAUAGGAAACAUACACUACCAAAAUUCUAAAGAUAUGAAAUAGCACACAGAAUUGUGCAGUAAAAGGAACAAAUUAACAGAACAUGCUUUGAAAUAUUACACUUAAUAAGAAUCAUAGAAUGGCCUGGGUUGAAAAGGACCACAAUGAUCGUCUAAUUUCAAUCCCCCUGUUAUGUGCAGGAUCACCAACCACCAGACCAGGCUGCCCAGAGCCACAUCCAGCCUGCCCUUGAAUGCUUCCAGGAAUGUGGCUUCCACAGCCUCCUUGGGCAACUUGUUCCAGUGUGUCAUCACCCUAUAUAUAAUAUAUAUAUAUUCCUCCUUUUGUAAGAUAUUCAGACAGUCAUUGGCUGUGCACUGAUUAGACCCAGUCGUUCCCGUCUGUGCCAGCACUCAGUCACACUGAAAUCUCACACUCAUUAAAAAUAGCAUUCUCUUAAAGGUGUUUGUUACAAUAGGUCACUAAAUACUUUCUUUCCCCCCAAAAAAGAAACAUUUUCCAGAAUAAAGAAAGGAAUUAAUCUACAUUAAGCAGGAAGAGUCUGUUGUUCAUCUUAAAAUGAUUUUGACAGCUUAGAGUAAUAAUAAAAAUUGAUGUACCUUAAAUCUUUUACCACUUCUCAGUAAUGCUGUCCCCUACUCUGAGCACUUUUCUCAGUAAUCUAAAUACAAAUGGACAAAUAGGAAAAUAACUCAGUGUAAAGGGUCACUAGCUUAUGAGGAGUCCAUUAAAUUACUUUUCCUCAUUAAAUGUUAUUAAGCCCUGCCAUUUUUGUUGGUUUAUGGGUAUCAUCAAUUUUAAUGAGUAUUGCUUUUUUUUUUUUUUUGCUGAGUUUGAGCAUCUUUAUCCCUUUUGUUU